rnacentral:rRNA from 1 species
GACGAACGCUGGCGGCGUGCCUAAUACAUGCAAGUUGAGCGAUGAAGCUUGGUGCUUGCACCAAUUUGAAGAGCAGCGAACGGGUGAGUAACGCGUGGGGAAUCUGCCUUUGAGCGGGGGACAACAUUUGGAAACGAAUGCUAAUACCGCAUAACAACUUUAAACAUAAGUUUUAAGUUUGAAAGAUGCAAUUGCAUCACUCAAAGAUGAUCCCGCGUUGUAUUAGUUAGUUGGUGAGGUAAAGGCUCACCAAGGCGAUGAUACAUAGCCGACCUGAGAGGGUGAUCGGCCACAUUGGGACUGAGACACGGCCCAAACUCAUACGGGAGGCAGCAGUAGGGAAUCUUCGGCAAUGGACGAAAGUCUGACCGAGAAACGCCGCGUGAGUGAAGAAGGUUUUCGGAUCGUAAAACUCUGUUGGUAGAGAAGAACGUUGGUGAGAGUGGAAAGCUCAUCAAGUGACGGUAACUACACAGAAAGGGACGGCUAACUACGUG